rnacentral:misc_RNA from 1 species
GAUGAAGAACGUAGCGAAAUGCGAUAAGUAAUGUGAAUUGCAGAAUUCAGUGAAUCAUCGGAUCUUUGAACGCACAUUGCGCCCGCCAGUAUUCUGGCGGGCAUGCCUGUUCGAGCGUCAUUACAACCCUCAGGCCCCCGGGCCUGGCGUUGGGGAUCGGCGGAAGCCCCCUGCGGGCACAACGCCGUCCCCCAAAUACAGUGGCGGUCCCGCCGCAGCUUCCAUUGCGUAGUAGCUAACACCUCGCAACUGGAGAGCGGCGCGGCCACGCCGUAAAACACCCAACUUCUGAAUGUUGACCUCGAAUCAGGUAGGAAUACCCGCUGAACUUAAGCAUAUCAAUAAGCGGAGGA